AGUAAUCAAACACCGACAGGAUAGCCUCCUGGUGGAGGGACCACACAACAUACAUUCACAUACAACGUGUCUCACCGUUUAUGCAAAAUGAUGACAUAUGUGAAGCACUAAUAUCACAGAUAGAUAUUUAGCAGUGCAGUAAUUAAGAUGCAUUCGUACACAUUCAUCAUAAAUGUAAAUGCAACAUUCACACACAAGCAUAUAAC
rnacentral:lncRNA from 1 species